rnacentral:rRNA from 1 species
UACGGAGGAUGCAAGCGUUAUCCGGAAUGAUUGGGCGUAAAGCGUCCGCAGGUGGCGAUGUAAGUCUGCUGUUAAAGAGUGAGGCUCAACCUCAUAAGAGCAGUGGAAACUACAUAGCUAGAGUACGUUCGGGGCAGAGGGAAUUCCUGGUGUAGCGGUGAAAUGCGUAGAGAUGUGGAGGAACACCGAUGGCGAAGGCAGCCCCCUGGGCCAACACUGACGCUCAGGCACGAAAGCGUGGGGAGCAAACAGG